AUUGAACGCUGGCGGCAGGCCUAACACAUGCAAGUCGAGCGGUAGAGAGAAGCUUGCUUCUCUUGAGAGCGGCGGACGGGUGAGUAAUGCCUAGGAAUCUGCCUGGUAGUGGGGGAUAACGUUCGGAAACGGACGCUAAUACCGCAUACGCCCUACGGGAGAAAGCAGGGGACCUUCCGGCCUUGCGCUAUCAGAUGAGCCUAGGUCGGAUUGGCUAGUUGGUGAGGUAAUGGCUCACCAAGGCGACGAUCCGUAACUGGUCUGAGAGGAUGAUCAGUCACACUGGAACUGAGACACGGUCCAGGCUCCUACGGGAGGCAGCAGUGGGGAAUAUUGGAAAAUGGGCGAAAGCCUGAUCCAGCCAUGCCGCGUGUGUGAAGAAGGUCUUCGGAUUGUAAAGCACUUUAAGUUGGGAGGAAGGGUUGUAGAUUAAUACUCUGCAAUUUUGACGUUACCGACAGAAUAAGCACCGGCUAACUCUGUGCCAGCCGCCGCGGUAA
rnacentral:rRNA from 1 species